UACGGGGGGGAGCAAGCGUUGUUCGGAUUUACUGGGCGUAAAGGGCGCGUAGGCGGCCAGCACAAGUCAGUUGUGAAAUCUCCGAGCUUAACUCGGAAAGGUCAACUGAUACUGUGCGGCUAGAGUGCGGAAGGGGCAACUGGAAUUCUUGGUGUAGCGGUGAAAUGCGUAGAUAUCAAGAGGAACACCUGAGGUGAAGACGGGUUGCUGGGCCGACACUGACGCUGAGUGCGCGAAAGCCAGGGGAGCAAACGGG
rnacentral:rRNA from 1 species